AUACGUAGGGAGCGAGCGUUGUCCGGAAUUACUGGGUGUAAAGGGUGCGUAGGCGGGUCAGCAAGUCAGGCGUGAAAUACCGGGGCUCAACUCCGGGGCUGCGCUUGAAACUGUUGGUCUUGAGUGAAGUAGAGGCAGGCGGAAUUCCUAGUGUAGCGGUGAAAUGCGUAGAUAUUAGGAGGAACACCAGUGGCGAAGGCGGCCUGCUGGGCUUUAACUGACGCUGAUGCACGAAAGCAUGGGGAGCAAACAGGAUUAGAUACCCUGGUAGUCCAUGCCGUAAACGAUGAUAGCUAGGUGUGGGGGGUUAUAUGCCGUCCGUGCCGGAGUUAACACAAUAAGCUAUCCACCUGGGGAGUACGGCCGCAAGGCUAAA
rnacentral:rRNA from 1 species